UACGUAGGGGGCAAGCGUUGUCCGGAAUCAUUGGGCGUAAAGAGCGCGUAGGCGGCCCUGUAAGUCCGCUGUGAAAGUCAAGGGCUCAACCCUUGAAUGCCGGUGGAUACUGCAGGGCUAGAGUCCGGAAGAGGCGAGUGGAAUUCCUGGUGUAGCGGUGAAAUGCGCAGAUAUCGAGAGGAACACCUGCGGCGAAGGCGGGUUGCUGGGCCGACACUGACGCUGAUGCGCGAAAGCCAGGGGAGCGAACGGG
rnacentral:rRNA from 1 species